rnacentral:rRNA from 1 species
AACGAACGCUGGCGGCAUGCCUAACACAUGCAAGUCGAACGAUGCCUUCGGGCAUAGUGGCGCACGGGUGCGUAACGCGUGGGAAUCUGCCCUUCGGUUCGGAACAACAGUUAGAAAUGACUGCUAAUACCGGAUAAUGACGUAAGUCCAAAGAUUUAUCGCCGAAGGAUGAGCCCGCGUAGGAUUAGCUUGUUGGUGGGGUAAUGGCCCACCAAGGCGACGAUCCUUAGCUGGUCUGAGAGGAUGAUCAGCCACACUGGGACUGAGACACGGCCCA